rnacentral:tRNA from 1 species
GCGUGCUUAGUUCAGUGGUAGAACGCAUUCCUGAUAAGAAUGAGGUCCAUGGUCCGAUUCCAUGAGCACGCA